rnacentral:sRNA from 1 species
GGUUCAUGUACCUUUGGCCUGGGAACAACCUCGUUCGAGUGAAGAAAUCUACUAUGGUCAAAUUGUACAAAGAAUGUUUACAGGAUGAAGGCAAGGGGUUGGUUCCUCAUAUGUUUUUGAGGUUUUAAAGACAUUUGAGGAAGGAAAUGUGUCACUAGCGGAAUACUCAUUCGCUCUAAAGGCUACAGUUGGAUUGAAUGCACUUGUACUAGCUGUGGCCCUGUGGGAAUUGUGCUUUUAAAGUAUUGCAUGCGUUGGUAGCACUCCUGAAACCAAGAGAUUAAGCGUGAAACGAGCUCGCGUGAACGUUGAUGAUCUGUCUACCCUAAACAAUCCUCUUAAAGCUUCCAAAGCUGCUGCAAAUAGCUGGGCUUCAGCAAAGGACAUGCUUCUCAACGAGCCCACUUCAUCAACUGACAAUGAAAUUGCAACUGCUUUCAUGCAACAGUCUGAUCAAUUAAUUGUGGGCUCGGAGAAUCAGCAAACUGAACAACAAGGCCUUGGAGAUGGAGAUGGAAAUGAUCCCCUGACGAGGAUGUUAAAUAGAACUUGCAAGUGUAUUACUUCUGCGCUUGUUGCUUGCACACAGGAAUCUUGUCUUCCCCAGAUUUCAGAAAAUCUUGGAGAUAACAUGACCUUGGUUUACGGCCUACUUAGCGUUGGAGGGAGAGAGGAAAAUGCACAACAUUUUGAAUGAGGCAAGCAGGAAGGCUGAAAGUUGAAUGUCUACGUGCAGCUUCUGUCUAGACAGACUUCGUUACGAGAAUCUCAAGUUAGCAAAACUUCUUAACCAAUGUCGUUAAAAGUUUUUGUCUUUAGAGGAGGAGUUGGAUGCCAAAAAUAAGAGUACUUUGCAAGACAAAGAUGCCACCAUAAAAGCUUUGAUGGGUAGAAUUGUUCAGCAGCCAUGGAAAAGUGACACUGUGAAGCGGGAGGUGGCAGCUGUUUCGGCAUUCAAAAGCUGGACCGAGUACUUAAAUGCAAUGGAGUCAGCUUACAUCCAAGGAUCUGAAAAAUGUCGAGCUAGAAUUAGCAAGCACCAUCCUGAUAUAUUCAUUUUUUGUCAGUUGGUUGCGUUGAAAAGUUCACUUUUCAGUGUCAUAAAUCAAAAUCCAAAA